rnacentral:lncRNA from 1 species
GCGGGAGACUGAGGCCUGAAUGGCGCCGGCUCAGCAGUCUCGGGUUCUACGGUGCUGCAGCUGCCACAUCUUUCAGGCACAUCAGGUGAAGAAGAGUCUCAAGUGGACAUGCAAGGCUUGUGGAGAGAAGCAGUCUUUCGUGCGGAGGAAGAUGUGCCUCAGUGUGCAGCAGAGAGCUUACCUCCACUGUUAAAGCAGAUGCAGGUUAUCAGUCUUCUUUAAUCUUGCCGUCGUCCCCUGUGCCCAACUCCUGUCUACCCUCACUUGAACACACAGCAGACAGGACCACACUCUACUAGGCCUUGACUGCUGUGGCCAGUCAGUGACCUCCAUGUUGCCAAACAGGCUUAUGGCGAAGGCUCUGGUGCUGACUGUAGACGCCAUGUCCAAAAGCUAAAUCUGCUUCAAGGACAAGCGUCAGAGCUGUCACUCAGGCAUUGUCUGAGCCCCUCGAGUCCCGUUGGCUGAAGUAUCUGGACCAGGACUGUGAGGGCCAGGAGCUGGACAGAGGAAGACCAGCUCUUAAGACACAGCUCUCAGCCAGUGCUAAGUGGCCAAAUCUGCCCUGCAGUCCAGCCCGACCCAGGAAGAGGAAAUGGGAUCAGAGCACAGGGCAGCCUGCACACAGCCCGCGUGUCCAGGGUGUGGACAGUGGUGAGGACAACUUUCAACACCAGGACUCCACUGGCCUGUCUGGGACAGAGCAGCAAGGCAUUAGCCCUGCCCUCAGUACCACAAACCACAUCAGGGAGCUCGGUUUUCCUAGGUGGAAACUACCAAGUCCUGUCACGCAAGUUAAUGCCCCAUCUUCUAAAUGGGCACGGUUUCUCCUAUCGCCUGAGAACAGUCCACAAGUGGAUGGGAAACCAACAAGUCCUUUGCAGGAGGGCACCAGGCGAUCUGGCCUAGCACAAAUUGAGCAAGGGACUCUUGAGACCAAGACUCCAGGAGAAGGCCACUUCAUCAGAGACCCUGCCACCAUCCGGCCGCCUCUAACCAUUCACACUACCACUCCACAGCCAGACAAGCCUGACAGGAAGACCCCAGAGCAGCCAUGGGCCACGGGGACUCCUCAAGCAGAUGGUGGGCUUUUGGCUCAAGGGACACAGAAGGCUCCAUCCAUGCAACUGCACAACCUCUUUACAACCGGAGAGGACUUUGAGGAUGACCUGUAGCCUUCACUCUGAUCAUAUGUUACAUGAUC